rnacentral:rRNA from 1 species
GACUCUUAGCGGUGGAUCACUCGGCUCGUGCGUCGAUGAAAGAACGCAGCUAGCUGCGAGAAUUAAUGUGAAUUGCAGGACACAUUUGAUCAUCGACACUUCGAACUUCACUUGCUGGUCUCGGGUUUCCUCUCGAGUCUACGCUUGUUCUGAGCGUCG